rnacentral:rRNA from 1 species
CUUAUACAUGCAAGUCUCCGCACCCCUGUGAAAAUGCCCUCAAACCCCUCCAGGGGUCAGGAGCUGGUAUCAGGCCCGACCCUCAGCCCAUGACACCUAGCCAUGCCACACCCACAAGGGUAUACAGCAGUGAUUAACAUUGACCAUAAGCGCAAGCUUGACUCAGUCAGAGUAAGUAGAGCCGGCAAAUCUGGUGCCAGCCGCCGCGGCCACACCAGGGGCUCAGACUGAUUAUAUUCGGCGUAAAGCGUGAUUAAAGCUAACUUAAACUGCAGUUAAACUGGAACUAAACUGUAAAACCCAUGAACCCAGGAAACACAAAAACGAAAGUCA